rnacentral:rRNA from 1 species
CCCUUAGAUGUUCUGGGCCGCACGCGCGCUACACUGACGAUGGCAACGAGUUUUUCCUUCGCCGAAAGGUGUGGGUAAUCUUUUGAAACAUCGUCGUGCUGGGGAUAGAUCAUUGCAAUUUUUGAUCUUGAACGAGGAAUUCCUAGUAAGCGCGAGUCAUCAGCUCGCGUUGAUUACGUCCCUGCCCUUUGUACACACCGCCCGUCGCUACUACCGAUUGAAUGGUUUAGUGAGGACUCCUGAUUGGCGCAGCCGCCCCGGCAACGGAGCAGCGGACUGCCGAAAAGUUGUUCAAACUUGAUCAUUUAGAGGAAGUAAAAGUCGUAACA